UGCGUAGGCGGGUCUUUAAGUCAGGGGUGAAAUCCUGGAGCUCAACUCCAGAACUGCCUUUGAUACUGAGGAUCUUGAGUUCGGGAGAGGUGAGUGGAACUGCGAGUGUAGAGGUGAAGUUCGUAGAUAUUCGCAAGAACACCAGUGGCGAAGGCGGCUCACUGGCCCGAUACUGACGCUGAGGCACGAAAGCUGGGGAGCAAACA
rnacentral:rRNA from 1 species